UAAAUACUCCCGAGAGACCGAUAGCGAACCAGUACCGUGAGGGAAAGGUGAAAAGCACUUCGAACAGAAGAGUGAAAUAGUUCCUGAAACCGUGCGCCUACAAGCGGUCGGAGCUCGUUAAUGAGUGACGGCGUGCCUUUUGCAUAAUGAACCUACGAGUUGCCUUUGCCGGCAAGGUUAAGUGUGACGACACACGUAUCCGAAGCGAAAGCGAGUCUGAACAGGGCGUAUAGUCGGCAGUGGCAGACGCGAAACCAAGUGAUCUACCCUUGGCCAGGUUGAAGGCUGGGUAACACCAGCUGGAGGACCGCACCAAUAAGCGUUGAAAAGCUUCUGGAUGAGCUGAGGGUAGGGGUGAAAGGCUAAUCAAACUUGGAGAUAGCUCGUACUCCCCGAAAUGCAUUUAGGUGCAGCCUUGAGAGUUACUAAUGUGAGGUAGAGCGACUGAUAAGAUGCGAGGGCUUCACCGCCUAUCAAGUCUUGACAAACUCCGAAUGCGCAUCAGUUCUACCGCAGGAGUGAGGGCAUGGGUGCUAAGGUCCGUGCCCGAGAGGAGAAGAAUCCGGACCACCUGCUAAGGUCCCGAAAUGACAGCUAAGUUAAACUAACGAAGUCUGACUGCUAAGACAGCUAGGAUGUUGGCUUGGAAGCAGCCAUUCAUUUAAAGAGUGCGUAACAGCUCACUAGUCGAGGAGUCGGGCGUGGAUAAUAAUCGGGUAUCAAGUUGUCUACCGAAGCAGUGGGAUCAUUUAUAUGAUCGGUAGGGGAGCAUUCCAGUCAGCGUCGAAGGCGUACCGUGAGGUAUUCUGGAGCGUCUGGAAAAGCAAAUGUAGGUAUAAGUAACGAUAAAGGGGGCGGGAAACCCCCUCGCCGAAAGACUAAGGUUUCCUGAUCAACGCUAAUCGGAUCAGGGUCAGUCGGGUCCUAAGGCUCAGCCGAACGGCGAUGCCGAUGGCAGAAACGGUUAAUAUUCCGUUACUACCUUCAGGAGUGACGUGGAGACGCAGUAGUGACAGUGCCGCCAUCUGACGGAAUAGAUGGUUGAAGGGUGUAGGAGUCGAUCAUGGCAGGCAAAUCCACCAUGAGAUCCGAACCUGAUAGUAUGCCGCGUCCUUCGGGACAAGGCAAUAGUGCGCGUAAGCAUGCUGCCGAGAAAAUCCGCUAAACUUAAUCCUGCAGGUACCCGUACCGCAAACGGACACACGUAGUCGGGUUGAAUAUACUAAGGCGCUUGAGUGAUUCACGGUUAAGGAACUAGGCAAACUGACCCUGUAACUUCGGGAUAAAGGGUCCCUACCCUUUUAUGGGAGGGCGCAGAGAAUCGGUCCAGGCAACUGUUUAACAAAAACACAGGGCUGUGCCAAAUCGAAAGAUCCAGUAUACAGCCUGACACCUGCCCGGUGCUGGAAGGUUAAGAGGAGAUGUCAUCGAUAAGAGAAGCGUUGAAUUGAAGCCCCAGUAAACGGCGGCCGUAACUAUAACGGUCCUAAGGUAGCGAAAUUCCUUGUCGGGUAAGUUCCGACCUGCACGAAUGGUGUAAUGAUCUGGACACUGUCUCAACCGUGAGCUCAGUGAAAUUGUAGUAUCGGUGAAGAUGCCGAUUACCCGCGAUGGGACGAAAAGACCCCGUGAACCUUUACUAUAGCUUAUCAUUGAAUCUGGGCACGUGAUGUGUAGGAUAGGUCGGAGGCUUUGAAGCAGGUACGCCAGUAUUUGUGGAGCCGCUGUUGAAAUACGACCCUUUAUUUGUUUGGAUUCUAACCCGUGGAACGGGGACAUUGAUUGGUGGGUAGUUUGACUGGGGUGGUCGCCUCCAAAAGCGUAACGGAGGCUUCUA
rnacentral:rRNA from 1 species